GGUGAGAUGGCUCAGUGGGUAAGAGCACCCGACUGUUCUUCCGAAGAUCCAGAGUUCAAAUCCCAGCAACCA
rnacentral:tRNA from 1 species